GGCUUGUUGAAUAUAAUUUCAAGUCCCACCUGCCCAAUGAUUAAAUUUAAUGGCCGCAGUAUAUUGACUGUGCAAAGGUAGCAUAAUCAUUAGUUUUUUAAUUGAAAGCUUGUAUGAAUGGUUAGAUGAAAAAUUGACUGUCUCUUUUUAAUUUUAUUAGAAUUUUAUUUUUAAGUGAAAAAGCUUAAAUUUUUAUAGAAGACGAGAAGACCCUAUAGAGUUUUAUAUUUAAACAAAAAAUUUUCUUUGUUUAUUUUUUUGUUUAAGUAUUUUAUUGGGGUGAUAGAAAAACUUGUAAAACUUUUUUUUUAUUUUUACAUUUAUUUAUGAAUUAUUGAUCCUAAAAUAUAGAUUAAAAGAUUUAAUUACCUUAGGGAUAACAGCGUAAUUUUUCUUAGAGUUCUUAUCAAAAGAAAAGAUUGCGACCUCGAUGUUGGAUUAAAAUAAAUUAUUGGUGCAGAAGCUUAUAAAUUUGGUCUGUUCGACCAUUAAAAUUUUACAUGAUCUGAGUUUAAACCGGUGUGAG
rnacentral:rRNA from 1 species